rnacentral:rRNA from 1 species
GUAGGGUGCGAGCGUUAUCCGGAAUCAUUGGGCGUAAAGAGCUCGUAGGCGGUUCAGCAAGUCGGCUGUGAAAUUCCGAGGCUCAACCUCGGAACUGCAGUCGAUACUGUUGUGACUCGAGUCCGGUAGAGGAGAAUGGAAUUCCCGGUGUAGCGGUGAAAUGCGCAGAUAUCGGGAGGAACACCAGUAGCGAAGGCGGUUCUCUGGGCCGGCACUGACGCUGAGGAGCGAAAGCGUGGGGUAGCAAACAGGAUUAGAUACCCUGGUAGUCCACGCCCGUAAACGUUGGAUACUAGGUGUGGGGUUCCGACCAACGGUCCCCGUGCCGAAGCUAACGCAUUAAGUAUCCCCGCCUGGGGAUACGGCCGCAAGGCUA